rnacentral:rRNA from 1 species
AUUGAACGCUGGCGGAAUGCUUUACACAUGCAAGUCGAACGGCAGCACGGACUUCGGUCUGGUGGCGAGUGGCGAACGGGUGAGUAAUGUAUGGGAACGUGCCCAGUCGUGGGGGAUAACGUAGUGAAAAUUACGCUAAUACCGCAUACGAUCUAUGGAUGAAAGCGGGGGAUCGCAAGACCUCGCGCGAUUGGAGCGGCCGAUAUCAGAUUAGGUAGUUGGUGGGGUAAAGGCCCACCAAGCCAACGAUCGGUAGCUGGUCUGAGAGGACGACCAGCCACACUGGAACUGAGACACGGUCCAGACUCCUACGGGAGGCAGCAGUGGGGAAUUUUGGACAAUGGGCGAAAGCCUGAUCCAGCCAUUCCGCGUGCAGGAUGAAGGCCCUCGGGUUGUAAACUGCUUUUGUACAGAACGAAAAGGUUUCUACUAAUACUAGGAGCUCAUGACGGUACUGUAAGAAUAAGCACCGGCUAACUACGUGCCAGCAGCCGCCGUAA